rnacentral:rRNA from 1 species
GAUGAACGCUAGCUACAGGCUUAACACAUGCAAGUCGAGGGGCAGCAUGGUCUUAGCUUGCUAAGGCCGAUGGCGACCGGCGCACGGGUGAGUAACACGUAUCCAACCUGCCGUCUACUCUUGGACAGCCUUCUGAAAGGAAGAUUAAUACAAGAUGGCAUCAUGAGUCCGCAUGUUCACAUGAUUAAAGGUAUUCCGGUAGACGAUGGGGAUGCGUUCCAUUAGAUAGUAGGCGGGGUAACGGCCCACCUAGUCUUCGAUGGAUAGGGGUUCUGAGAGGAAGGUCCCCCACAUUGGAACUGAGACACGGUCCAAACUCCUACUGGAGGCAGCAGUGAGGAAGAUUGGUCAAUGGGCGAGAGCCUGAACCAGCCAAGUAGCGUGAAGGAUGACUGCCCUAUGGGUUGUAAACUUCUUUUAUAAAGGAAUAAAGUCGGGUAGGGAUACCCGUUUGCAUGUACUUUAUGAAUAAGGAUCGGCUAACUCCGUG